CCCGACCGGUAUCGAGGUGGGGCUAAGCCAUGCAAGUCGUACGUCCUCCAGCCACGUGGGGGACGUGGCGCACGGCUCAGUAGUACGCAGCUAACCUACCCUAAGGAGGGGGAUAAUCCCGGGAAACUGGGGCUAAUCCCUCAUAGACCUGGGGCACUGGAAGGUCCCUAGGUUGAAACGGGUGAGCUGGCAAGCCGGUUCACCUGCCUUAGGAUGGGGCUGCGUCCGAUCAGGUAGUUGGUGGGGUAAUGGCCCACCAAGCCUAUGACCGGUGCGGGCUCUGAGAGGAGGAGCCCGGAGAUGGACCCUGAGACAAGGGUCCAGGCCCUACGGGGCGCAGCAGGCGCGAAACCUUCGCAAUGCCCGAAAGGGUGACGAGGCUACCCCGAGUGUCGUCCGCUAAGGACGGCUUUUGUCGGGUCUAAAAAGCCCGACGAAUAAGGGGAGGGCAAGUCUGGUGUCAGCCGCCGCGGUAAUACCAGCUCCCCGACUGGUCGGGACGAUUAUUGGGUCUAAAGCGUCCGUAGCCGGCCCUGUAUGUGAUCCGUUAAAUCCAGCGGCUCAACCGCUGGGCUGCGGAUCAUACUAUGGAGCUAGGGGACGGGAGAGGCCGGAGGUACUCCGCGGGUAGGGGUAAAAUCCGCUGAUCCGCGGAAGACCAACAGUGGCGAAGGCGUCCGGCCAGAACGCGCCCGACGGUGAGGGACGAAAGCCAGGGGAACGAACCGGAUUAGAUACCCGGGUAGUCCUGGCCGUAAACGAUGCCCGCUAGGUCUUGGUGAAGCUUAGGGUUUCAUCAGGGCCGCAGGGAAGCCGUUAAGCGGGCCACCUGGGGAGUACGGCCGCAAGGCUGAAACUUAAAGGAAUUGGCGGGGGAGCACCACAAGGGGUGAAGCCUGCGGUUUAAUUGGAGUCAACGCCGGGAACCUUACCAGGGUGACGGCAGAGUGAAGGUCAGCUAAAGACCUUACCUGACAAGCCGAGAGGAGGUGCAUGGCCGUCGCCAGCUCGUGCUGUGAAGUGUCCUGUUAAGUCAGGCAACGAGCGAGACCCUCGCUGCCAGUUGCUUCUAUGUUCCGAAA
rnacentral:rRNA from 1 species